GCUCCAGUGGCGCAAUUGGUUAGCGCACGGUACAUAUACGAUAGUAACGAUGCUGUUAUUGUGAGUUAGGGACUCACCUGGAGCA
rnacentral:tRNA from 1 species